UAUGAAGAACGUAGCGAAAUGCGAUAAGUAAUGCGAAUUGCAGAUCUCAGUGAAUCAUCGAAUCUUUGAACGCACAUUGCGCCCCCUGGUAUUCCGGGGGGCAUGCCUGUCCGAGCGUCAUUACAACCCUCAAGCUCAGCUUGGUGUUGGGCCCCGCCGCCCCGGCGGGCCCUAAAGUCAGUGGCGGUGCCGUCCGGCUCCGAGCGUAGUAAUUCUUCUCGCUCUGGAGGUCCGGUCGUGUGCUCGCCAGCAACCCCCAAUUUUUUUCAGGUUGACCUCGGAUCAGGUAGGGAUACCCGCUGAACUUAAGCAUAUCAAUAAGCGGAGGA
rnacentral:misc_RNA from 1 species